rnacentral:misc_RNA from 1 species
UCUCCGUAGGUGAACCUGCGGAGGGAUCAUUACUGAGUGAGGGUUUAACCGCCCGACCUCCAACCCUUUGUGAAUCGUACUCGUUGCUUCGGGGGCGACCCUGCCGUUUCGACGGCGAGCGCCCCCGGAGGCCUUCAAACCCUGCGUAACUAAGUCGUCGGAGUUUAAACAAAUUAAACAAAACUUUCAACAACGGAUCUCUUGGUUCGGGCAUCGAUGAAGAACGCAGC